rnacentral:rRNA from 1 species
GAUGAACGCUGGCGGCGUGCCUAAUACGUGCAAGUCGAGCGAACAGACGAGGAGCUUGCUCCUCUGACGUUAGCGGCGGACGGGUGAGUAACACGUGGAUAACCUACCUAUAAGACUGGGAUAACUUCGGGAAACCGGAGCUAAUACCGGAAAAUAUACUGAACCGCAUGGUUCAAUAGUGAAAGACGGUUUUGCUGCCACUUAUAGAUGGAUCAGCGCCGCAUUAGCUAGUUGGUAAGGUAACGGCUUACCAAGGCAACGAUCCUUAGCCGACCUGAGAGGGGGAUCGGCCACCCUGGAACUGAGCCACGGUCCAGGGUCCUCCGGGAGGCAGCCGUGGGGAAUCUUCCGCAACGGGCGAAAGCCUGACGGAGCUACGCCGCGUGAGUGAUGAAGGUCUUCGGGUCGUAGAACUCUGUUAUUAGGGAAGAACAAAUGUGUACGUAACUAUGCACGUCUUGACGGUACCUAAUCAGAAAGCCACGGCUAACUACGUG